rnacentral:tRNA from 1 species
GGGAAUGUAGCUCAGUUGGUUAGAGCGCUAAAAUCUCUGUGUUAAUUAUUUGCCCUCCACUGUGGGUUGCAUUAUAUACAGUUACUUCGACUUGUAAUCGAGAGGCGUUGGUUCGAGUCCAACCAGUCCCACCA